rnacentral:rRNA from 1 species
GACGAACGCUGGCGGCGUGCCUAAUACAUGCAAGUUGAGCGCUGAAGGUUGGUACUUGUACCAACUGGAUGAGCAGCGAACGGGUGAGUAACGCGUGGGGAAUCUGCCUUUGAGCGGGGGACAACAUUUGGAAACGAAUGCUAAUACCGCAUAAAAACUUUAAACACAAGUUUUAAGUUUGAAAGAUGCAAUUGCAUCACCCAAAGAUGAUCCCGCGUUGUAUUAGCUAGUUGGUGAGGUAAAGGCCCACCAAGGCGAUGAUACAUAGCCGACCUGAGAGGGUGAUCGGCCACAUUUGGACUUAGACACGGCCCAAACUCCUACGGGGGGCAGCAGUAGGGGAUCUUCGGCAAUGGACGAAAGUCUGACCGAGCAACGCCGCGGGAGUGAAGAGGGUUUUCGGAUCGUAAAACUCUGUUGGUAGAGAAGAACGUUGGUGAGAGUGGAAAGCUCGUCAAGUGACGGUAACUACCCAGAAAGGGACGGCUAACUACGUG